rnacentral:rRNA from 1 species
AUUGAACGCUGGCGGCAUGCCUUACACAUGCAAGUCGAACGGUAACAGGUCUUCGGAUGCUGACGAGUGGCGAACGGGUGAGUAAUACAUCGGAACGUGCCCGAUCGUGGGGGAUAACGAAGCGAAAGCUUUGCUAAUACCGCAUACGAUCUACGGAUGAAAGCAGGGGACCGCAAGGCCUUGCGCGAACGGAGCGGCCGAUGGCAGAUUAGGUAGUUGGUGGGAUAAAAGCUUACCAAGCCGACGAUCUGUAGCUGGUCUGAGAGGACGACCAGCCACACUGGGACUGAGACACGGCCCAAACUCCUACGGGAGGCAGCAGUGGGGAAUAUUGGGCAAUGGGGGAAACCCUGACCCAGCAACGCCGCGUGAGGGAAGAAGGUUUUCGGAUCGUAAACCUCUGUCCUUGGUGAAGAGAAGAGGACGGUAACCAGGGAGGAAGCCCCGGCUAACUACGUG